GCCUCCGUCCCCGCUUGCUCCGCGGGGUCUGCGCGCCUUUGCAAGGAAAGAGGGCUUCCUGAGAGGGUGGCUUCGAGGCCCGAGAGCUCGCAUCAGUCAUUCCAAACGUCGUUAGGAAGCGGGACGGGAUCGAUGAGGCGAUGGAAAGUCGGGUUCCAGACUGCCUCGGGGGGCGUUCACCGCUGAGCCCGGGCCGCGCCCCCCCACCUUCCCGGCCGCCCGGUGCCCCGCUGGGGACUGCGCAGGUUCCGGCCCAGGCCCUCGGCGCGGCCCCCUUCAGCCCUUCACGUUGGGGCUGCGUGAGGGCGUACAGCCGUCGAGGAUCGGAGCCUAGGGGUACCGGGGCUCCCAGAGAGUGUGACUCGGAGGGGCAGAGGUUCCCCGCUUCCUAAAGCCGGGGCGCCCCAGAGCGACUGGGAACCUAACGCGGUGCGCCUGCCACCCGUCCCCUAGCAAGGAAGGAGGAGGAGAUCGAAGGACAGCCUUUGCCCGAUCAUUGAAAGAGAAGCUUCUGGCCCCUCCCCGGAUGGUUUGGAGCGGUUCGUAACUCAGGCUGACCCGCCUUUUCCGGCCCCUCCCAGCACUCUCACCCCCACCCGGAGGCCGGGGCGCGCGCCAUCGGGCAGGCGGGCCUGGGUACAGCCACUACGGAGCCACAGAGCGGACAGCAGGGAGGGAAGGAGGGCCAAGCUGGCUUUCCAGGAGGCUGGACUUCCUCAUCGUCUCCUCCCACGCCUGAGAGCGCGGCCGGGGGGUGGGGGAGGGGGGAAGGGCUCCUGCCCUGUUGGAACCCUCCCUGGUGCGGGCGCCAGCUGCUUUUGGCAAGGUUUAUGGAUGUGGGGUCAGACCGGGCUCCUCAUCCUUGUUCACCUCAUGAGCCACCCAGAAAAUUUAUAUAAUGUCCCCGUGACUUUCAGGGGUGAACUGGUACUUAAAAUGGUCUAAUUUGCGGAAGGCACCUGCAUUAGAGAGCAGCUGACCCGUGGUUGGCGUGGACACCGUGAAACUGUGCACCAGCCACAAAAGGAGAGAGGUACCUGAUACCUGUGGAGAUGGUGUUUCUGGGCAUGCUGUGGGGGCCCCACUCCACCAGCCUCAUAUUGCACUCCCAAAACUGCAUCCAUGACAACCUCUGGUGGGGUAAGAGCAGGCAUGGCGACAAACUCCAAGUUAGGGUCUCCAAUUAGUUUUCCAACAAGUCAAAGGGAAGACCUCUUCAAAGUUUGUAGUUACUUUUAGCGGAAAUGUCUAAGACUGAACAUACUUCUUUCUUUCUUUUCUUAAUGUUUAUUUAUUUUUGAGAGAGAGAGAGAGAGACAGAACAUGAGCAGGGAAGGAGCGGAGAGAGAGAAUCCGAAGCAGGCUCCAGGCUCUGAGCUGUCAGCACAAAGCCCCACGUGGGGCUCGAAUUCACAAACCGUGAGAUCAUGACCUCAGCCAAAGUCCGAUGCUCAACCAACUGAACCACCCAUGCGCCCCUGAAAAUGCUUCUUUCAAUGGAAGUACAGCCUGACAGGAAAAAACCACCAUGGGACUAGAAGCUCCCGACCAACGAGGAUAUUAUUGCACAUUCAGAGGACGAGGUACCUCUCUGCAGGUUGUGACUGCUUAACUCCGAGCAGCAGACUUUAAAAGAACCUCUUUCUACAAAUGUCAGUUGAACAAAAUGAAAGAAGUUUGGCUCGUGAAAUAUUAAGACAAAACAUAAGUUUGAUUUUCCUUUGAUUCUUUUUUCUUUUUUUCUCUUUUGCAUAACAGAUGAUGACAAUCUUAAAAUACCCAACAGGCUAACGAGGAAGAAAAACCACUCCUUCUGUCUAAGGGGAAUGGUGAAAUAAUGGCCCAAAGCUGUCCUCUGCAAUUCCUUUGGGGGUGACAUUAAAGGAUUGGAAGGCAUCGGGGAAACCAACAGGAAAAUUAGCUUAAAAAAAAAAAGAUUUUAUGUUUAAGUAAUCUCUACAUCCAACAUGGGGCUCGAACUCACAACGCCGAGAUCAAGAGUCACACACUCCAUCGACUUAGCCAGCCAGGUGCCCCAGGAAAAUUAGCUUUGUUAGUAAAAUGAGCUUACUUAGUGAAAAUAAUUCUCACUGGAUCUAGCUUUUAACAAAUCUAUGGUCAUUUUAUGAUUCUAUAUAUUUUCUGGAGUAGAAGUCUGAUGACCAGCACCUUUUUACCGAUAAAAAGAGCAACUCCGAAGCACACAAAUGUGUCCAGGGAAGGGGUCUUGUGCCUCUUUUUACUCAAUGAGCCUGUGGUUCUUCUUGGUUUUCGUGUAUAUGAGUGUGUCUGUGUGUGUGCACAUGGGCGUGCGUGUGCACAUGUGUGGGUGAGUAGAUCCAGGUUUGGUGGGGUUUUUUAUUUUAUGAUUUGGGGAUCCCUUAAAGAGAAAAAAGAACAGAACAUUAUGGAUACAGAAUUAGGAGAAGAAUGUUAUGCAGAUUCAGAAAGAAAACACAAUACAUAGCAUACUUUAAAAAAAAAUGUUUAUUUUUGAGAGAGAGAGAAAGAGAGCACAAGCAAGGGAGGGGCAGAGAGAGAGGGAGACACAAUCCAAAGCAGGCUCCAGGCACAGAGCCUGAUGUGGGGCUCAAACUCAUGAACCAUGAGAUCAUGACCUGAGCUGAAGUUGGACACUUAACCAACUGAGCCACCCAGGCACCGCAGCAUACUUUUUUUUUUUUUUUUUAAGUAAUCUAUAAAGGGGUGUGUGGGUGGUUUAGUUGGUUGAUUGUCUGGCUCUUGAUUUCAGCUCAGGUCAUGAUCCCAGGGUGAUGGGAUUGAGCCCUGAGUUGGGCUCCGAGAUGGUGGCAUGGAACCUGCUCGGGAUUCUCUCUCUCUCUCUGUCUCUCUCUCUCUCUGUCUCUCUCUCUCUCUCUCUCCCUCUGCCCUCUUCCCCUGCUCAAGCUUGCUCACUCUCUCUCGCCCUCUCUCUCAAAAAUAAAUAAAUAAAUAAACAUUAAAAAACUAAUCUCUACACUCAAUGCGGGGCUCAAACUCACGACCCAGAGAUCAAGACAGCCAGGCGCCUAACAUAUAGCAUUUUAAAGGCUGAGAAAUACCUCAAAUCUCACCUAAUUCAGAAAACUGACAAAGUUUUGUUAACUGCCCGACAAACCCCU